CGCGUAGGCGGCCAGCCUGGUCGGGAGUCAAAUCCGGGGGCUCAACCCCCGUCCGCUCCCGAUACCGGCCGGCUUGAGUCUGGCAGGGAAGGCGGAAUUCCCGGUGUAACGGUGGAAUGUGUAGAUAUCGGGAAGAACACCAAUGGCGAAGGCAGGUCUCUGGGCCGUUACUGACGCUGAGGAGCGAAAGCGUGGGGAGCAAACA
rnacentral:rRNA from 1 species